rnacentral:rRNA from 1 species
UGAGUAACCUGCCCUUAACCCUGGGAUAAGCCUGGGAAACUGGGUCUAAUACCGGAUAUGACUCCUCAUCGCAUGGUGGGGGGUGGAAAGCUUUAUUGUGGUUUUGGAUGGACUCGCGGCCUAUCAGCUUGUUGGUGAGGUAAUGGCUCACCAAGGCGACGACGGGUAGCCGGCCUGAGAGGGCGACCGGCCACACUGGGACUGAGAUACGGCCCAGACUCCUACGGGAGGCAG